UGGGGUGUAGCUAAGUGGUAGAACACUUACCUAUAGUGUAUGAGGCCCUAGGUUUCAUUUUUAGCACCACAA
rnacentral:tRNA from 1 species